AUUGAACGCUGGCGGCAGGCCUAACACAUGCAAGUCGAACGAGUGGCGGACGGGUGAGUAAUGUCUGGGAAACUGCCUGAUGGCGGGGGAUAACUACUGGAAACGGUAGCUAAUACCGCAUACCAUCAGAUGUGCCCAGAUGGGAUUAGCUAGUUGGUGGGGUAACGGCUCACCAAGGCGACGAUCCCUAGCUGGUCUGAGAGGAUGACAAGCCACACUGUAACGGAGACACGGUCCAGACUCCUACGGGAGGAAGCAGUGGGGAAUAUUCAACAAUGGGCGAAAGCCUGAUACAGCCAGGCGGGGGGUAUGAAGAAGGCCUUCGGGUUGUAAAUUACUUUCAGCGGGGAGGCGUUACCCGAAGAAGAAGCACCGGCUAACUCCGUGCCAGCAGCCGCGGUAAUUC
rnacentral:rRNA from 1 species